rnacentral:rRNA from 1 species
GAUGAACGCUGGCGGCGUGCCUAACACAUGCAAGUCGAACGACAGGUACAUGACGAUCAUCUUCGGAUGAGAGACAUGUAUGCUGAGUGGCGAACGGGUGAGUAAGACAUGGGAACGUACCCUAAGGAGGGGGAUAGCGUUGCGAAAGCGGCGGUAAUACCCCAUAAGCCCGAGAGGGGAAAGGAGCAAAUGUUCCGCCUUAGGAGCGGCCCAUGGCCCAUUAGCUAGUUGGUGAGGUAAAGGCUCACCAAGGCGACGAUGGGUAGCUGGUCUGAGAGGAUGGUCAGCCACACUGGGACUGAGACACGGCCCAGACUCCUACGGGAGGCAGCAGUGGGGAAUUUUUCGCAAUGGGCGAAAGCCUGACGGAGCGACGCCGCGUGGAGGAAGAAGUCCUUCGGGACGUAAACUCCUGUUGUAAGGGAGUACAAGGAGCGGGAGUGGAACGUCCGCUCUGGGAUAGUACCUUACGAGGAAGCCCCGGCCAACUACGUGCCAGCAGCCGCGGUAACACGUAGGAGGCGAACGUUAUCCGGAUUUACUGGGCGUAAAGCGCUCGCAGGCGGCUUCGUAAGUCUGACGUGAAAGCCCCCGGCUUAACUGGGGGAGGCCGUUGGAUACUGCGGAGCUUGAGGACAGGAGAGGAAAGUGGAAUUCCCGGUGUAGCGGUGGAAUGCGUAGAUAUCGGGAGGAACUCCAGUGGCGAAGGCGACUUUCUGGCCUGUUCCUGACGCUCAGGAGCGAAAGCGUGGGUAGCGAACAGGAUUAGAUACCCUGGUAGUCCACGCUGUAAACGAUGUGAACUAGGUGUUGGCGCUGUUAUGGCGUCAGUGCCGUAGCUAACGCGUUAAGUUCACCGCCUGGGGACUACGGCCGCAAGGCUAAAACUCAAAGGAAUUGACGG